GACGAACGCUGGCGGCGUGCUUAACACAUGCAAGUCGAGCGAUGAAGCACCUUCGGGUGUGGAUUAGCGGCGAACGGGUGCGGAACACGUGAGGAAUCUGCCUUUCACUUCGGGAUAACUCCGGGAAACGGGGGCUCAUACCGGAUAUUUUCAACUGGCGGCAUCGCCGGUUGAAGAAAGUUUUUCGGUGAAAUAUGACCUCGCGGCCUAUCAGAUUGUUGGGGAGGUAAUGGCUCAACAAGGCGACGACGGGUAGUCGGCCUGGGAGGCGCGACCGGCCACACUGGGACUCAGACACGGCCCAGACUCCUACGGGAGGCAGCAGUGGGGAAUAUUGGGCAAUUGAGGAAACUCUGACCCAGCGACGCCGCGUGAGGGAUGAAGGCCUUCGGGUUGUAAACCUCUUUCAGCAGGGAAUAAGCGAAAGUGAAGGUACCUGCAGAAGAAGCACCGGCUAACUAUGUGCCAGCAGCCGCAGUAA
rnacentral:rRNA from 1 species